GCGGAAGAUGACAAUUCUGUCUCCAUCUAGGCUGACAACGAUGGUACUGCACAGCUAAUUUCCAGAUGCUCCCCAAGCCUGAUGGUCCAGCCCAAGGAGCUUUACUUAUGUACAUGCACCACAAGGAUUCUCCUGUUAGCCACGAGAUUGCAAUGGGAGCUAACAGUCAGCUGAUUAUCCAGAAUGACUCCCAAAUCUGUUUUAGAGUCACUGCUUCCCAGGAUAGAAUCCCCAUCCUG